rnacentral:rRNA from 1 species
CAAUAGCGUAUAUUAACGUUGUUGCAGUUAAAAAGCUCGUAGUUGGAUUUCUGGUGGGAGCGUCGGCCCGUAUUUACGAGUGCGUGACGUCUCUGUCCAUCCUUGCGGGAAGGCACGGCAUUGAUUUGUUGUGUCGGAUCGCAUCAUUUACUGUGAAAAAAUUAGAGUGUUCAAAGCAGGCUUUCGCUUGAAUACAUUAGCAUGGAAUAAUAAGAUAGGACUUUGGUGCUAUUUUGUUGGUUGAGCCUAAAGUAAUGAUUAAUAGGGAUAGUUGGGGGCACCUGUAUUGCGUUGUCAGAGGUGAAAUUCUUGGAUUUACGCAAGACAAACAGCUGCGAAAGCGUCUGCCAAGGAUGUUUUCAUUAA